rnacentral:hammerhead_ribozyme from 1 species
GUCCAGCUGACGAGUCCCAAAUAGGACAGAACGCGCGUGGUGGAU